UUACGGCUAUAUCAUGUUAAAACACCGGUUACCGUACGAUCACCGAAGCUGUGCAGCGUCGAGCCUAGUCAGUACCUAGAUGGGUGACUGUUUGGGAACAUCAGGGGUU